AAAUCAGACAGGCUGCAUCAUCUGUCCCAGUUCUCCAAAGGUCGUGCAGGAUCCUGACCUUAUAUCUGCACAACUUGGACAGGAAAGUGAAGCAUCUCGCCCAGCAAAGGCAACUGAUCUGCCGCAGAGCAAGGAUGCGCUGCACCGGUGGACCUGACACCUGUCAUCGCAGGAACUGCCGGGAUGUGCUUCCUCCCCUUUGCAGUGACUGUUGCCGUCCAUAAGUAACACCACCAUUGCUUACUGCAGAGGUCUCCAAUGUGGCGGGUUCAAUCCCUGGCCUUCUUGUGGGUUGGACUGGGUGACCCUUGGGGGUCCCUUCCACCUCUACCACUGUAUAAUUCGGUGUUGAGAUUCCUGCACUGAAGGGCAGUUGGACUACAUGAGCCUCAGUUUCGCCCAGUUCCUUGCCUAACUUCCUCCAGGUCAAACAGCCCCCCGAGAUCCAUCCUGCCCCAGGACCAAGCCCGCCCAAGGAGACAGACCGCAGGGCCCAGGGAUAGGUAAGACCUUGCCUGGGUGGGAUAGGGGCGACCGAAAUAGG